UACGUAGGGUGCAAGCGUUGUCCGGAAUUAUUGGGCGUAAAGAGCUCGUAGGCGGUUUGUUGCGUCGGCUGUGAAAUCCCGAGGCUCAACCUCGGGUCUGCAGUCGAUACGAGCAAACUAGAGUGUUGCAGGGGGAGACUGGAAUUCCUGGUGUAGCGGUGAAAUGACGCAGAUAUCAGGAGGAACACCGGUGGCGAAGGCGGGGUCUCUGGGGCAACAACUGACGCUGAGGAGCGAAAAGCGUGGGGGAGCAAACAGG
rnacentral:rRNA from 1 species